UACGGAGGAUGCGAGCGUUAUCCGGAUUUAUUGGGUUUAAAGGGUGCGUAGGCGGAUUGAUAAGUCAGUGGUGAAAUUCUACAGCUUAACUGUAGACUUGCCGUUGAUACUGUUAGUCUUGAGUGUGGUCAAGGCAGGCGGAAUGUGUAAUGUAGCGGUGAAAUGCUUAGAUAUUACACAGAACACCGAUUGCGAAGGCAGCUUGCUGGGUCAUUACUGACGCUGAUGCACGAAAGCGUGGGGAUCAAACAGGAUUAGAUACCCUGGUAGUCCACGCCGUAAACUAUGAUCACUCGCUGUUGGCGAUACACAGUCAGCGGCUAAGCAAAAGCAUUAAGUGAUCCACCUGGGGAGUACGGCCGCAAGGCUGAAACUCAAAGGAAUUGACGGGGGCCCGCACAAGCGGAGGAACAUGUGGUUUAAUUCGAUGAUACGCGAGGAACCUUACCUGGGCUUAAAUGUGGAGUGCAUUGGUGAGAAAUCAUCAUUUUCUUCGGAACUCUCUGCAAGGUGCUGCAUGGUU
rnacentral:rRNA from 1 species